CCAUAUCUUUAAUCGGUCACCAAUUCAACUGUAGGACCAUCAGUUUAUGAGUCUACCAACAUGUCCUCUGGUGUGGAUGUAUCUUCUAUUUCUGGGUUUAUUUAGAUCACAUGUGUCAAAGUCAAGGCCCGGGGGCCGGAUCCGGCCCUCCAGCCAGCUGUGGUUCCGACUGUCGGACGUGUUUGCUGUGGAGAAGUGACAGAGGUGGAUGUUCCUUCAUCGUUUCCAAACGGCGUUUGCAGACCGCCGCCUCUGUUUCAAACCCGCCAACGAUGAAGGCGGCAGCUCGUGAGGCUAACGGUCUGGAUUCUACACUCGGAUUUAUUUCUGGAUGACUGAAACAUCUCUGAUCACGUUCUGAACCUGAUCUCCGGCUGAUUAUUGAGGAACUCCUGAGGGCAGAUUUCCAGAAGAAAUCAGCUGAUUGAUGAAGCUGCAACGGUUCAAUCAAGAAGUCCAGAAACUCCUCACCUGGAGGAAAGAGAAACCUCCACACACAAGAGAAGUUUCCAGAUCAUAAAAAUGAUUUUUCUUUUUUUUUAAACUACAUUAAUAAUAAAUACAAAACAGAUUGUAAAUGAAUUUUUGAUUUACAUGGAGAAGAAAGGUUUCUGACUUGAUGAGAAAAGAGAUUUCUCUCAAACUGAUGAAGGAAAGACGUCAGACAGGAUUCUACUGGGACUGCAGCAAACGGAUAUUUCAAUAGUUGAUUAGCCACAACUAUUGAAAUGGUCAACGACUGAUUCAAUAGCCGAUUAGUCACGAUUAUUUAAUUUAUUGACGACUAAUUCAAUAGUCGACGACCAUUGAAUCAGUUGUCAACUAUUGAAUUAGUUGUUGAGUGUCGAAAUAGUUAACGACUGAUUCAAUAGUCGAUCAGUCACGACUAUUGAAUCAGUCAACGACUGAUUCAAUAGCUGAUUAGCUACGACAACUGAAUUAGUCAGCAACUAUUCAGUUGUCAACUAUUGAAUCAGCUGUUGACUGACAAAAUAGUCAACAACUAAGUCAAUAGCCGAUUAGUCACGAUUAUUGAAUUUAUUGAAAACUAAUUCAAUAGUCGAUGACCAUUGAAUCAGUUGUUGAGUGUAGAAACAAUUGACGACUGAUUAAAUCGUCAAUUUGCCAUGACUAUCAAAUUAGUUGACGACCAAUUCAGUAGUUGACAAUUGAUUAAAUAGUUGUCAACUAUUGAAUUAGUUGUUGAGUGUCGAAAUAGUUAACGACGGAUUCAAUAGUCGAUUAGCCACGCCCAUUGAAAUAAUUGAUGACUAAUUUAAUACCUGAUUAGCUACGACUUUUAAAAUCGUCAACGAACAAUUCAAUAGUUAAUGACCGAUUCAAUAGUCGACAACUAUUGAAUUAAUUGUUGACAGUCGAAAUAGUCAAUUCAACAGUCAUGACUAAUCAACUAAUCAUUGCAGCCUGAGUCUUUACAGCUUCUUUUCUCUAAAUUAUACAUAAAAUGUUCCUUUUAAAAGCUUUUAUUUGUCUCUUUUUUCUCAAUAAGAACCAUUUGCAUCCAUAUUUGUUUUCAGACUCAUGUUUUUAUCCAUUUUUAUCAUCUGUUUCUGUCACUCUUGCUAAAACCCUUUAGUUUCUUGUAGCAAAAUGUCAUUUUGAUCAUCUUUUGAUUUCUUUUACAAGAAUUCCAACCGUUCUUUUAGCACAUUUGCAUCAAAUAAACCUUUUAAUUUGAUUAAUUUAGUUUAUGCAUCUUAUAUGAUGUCUUCAGAUUCUGGAGCAGAUUUAAACCGCAGUGCCGUGCAACAAGAACAGCAGCAGCAUGGUUUCUAUCCAGCUGUACGGUUCUGAUCCAGAUUCCAGUUCAGAAGAGGAAAACAAAGACGUUCAUGGAUCUGUUCGUCUACAAGCGGAUGCAUCGGACUGGAGCUUGUAGCUCCGCCCAGCUUAUUCUCUACGUCACAAAUACGAUCUUUUACUUUGUCUACUUCUGAUCCACAACAAUUUAAAUAAAAACAAUCAGAAAUGUCA